UACAGCAUCUCCAAUGAGGUCGAAGGCGUGGCCUAGAAUCUUGAAAGCUUCUUCCGCACCGGCUUGUUGGUUCUAAAAACAAAAUGGCAAGAAGUCGCUGCAUGGCUUCAUCACCUGUAGAGCAAUGAUUUAUUAGAACUUCAGGGAUGUUUCAGAUGAACUACUACUACUAGGCGGUGGGGGAGUAGACCACGAAAUUUCAGUCACUGCGUGGCACACAGUCAAAUCAACGUUUUCAUUGGAAACAUUACUGCAUGUUUUGGCAGGCACCAUUUGUUCAAAAUGUUUACUGUCUGUGAAUUCUUGUUUCAACAACUCUGGCAGAGUUUUUGCACAUUUUAUUUUUUUUAUGUUGCAGUUUCUUUUUGUUUACAGACAGACGCUGACUUUUCAUAGUAACUGAAUGUUCCUUACAGUUUACUCAAGGGGCCUUUUCACAGAUGUUGGCAUGUUUUGAAGUUUGUCAUUAAAUGCU